CCUACGGGCGACAGCAGUGAGGAAUAUUGGUCAAUGGACGAGAGUCUGAACCAGCCAAGCAGCGUGAAGGAUGACUGCCCUAUGGGUUGUAAACUUUUUCUAUAUGGGAAUAACAUGUUCCACGUGUGGGAUUUUGUAUGUACUAUAUGCAUAAGGAUCGGCUAACUACGUGCCAGCAGCCGCGGUAAUACGGAGGAUCCGAGCGUUAUCCGGAUUUAUUGGGUUUAAAGGGAGCGUAGGUGGAUUGUUAAGUCAGUUGUGAAAGUUUGCGGCUCAACCGUAAAAUUGCAGUUGAAACUGGCAGUCUAGAGUACAGUAGAGGUGGGCGGAAUGCGUGGUGUAGCGGUGAAAUGCUUAGAUAUCACGAAGAACUCCGAUUGCGAAGGCAGCUCACUGGACUGCAACUGACACUGAGGCUCGAAAGUGUGGGUAUCAAACAGGAUUAGAUACCCCAGUAGUC
rnacentral:rRNA from 1 species